rnacentral:rRNA from 1 species
UACAGAGGUCCCAAGCGUUGUUCGGAUUCAUUGGGCGUAAAGGGUGCGUAGGCGGCUUAGCAAGUUGGAUGUGAAAUCCCUCGGCUCAACCAAGGAAGUGCAUCCAAAACUGCUGAGCUUGAAUACUUAAGAGGAUCGCGGAAUUCCCGGUGUAGAGGUGAAAUUCGUAGAUAUCGGGAGGAACACCAGUGGCGAAGGCGGCGAUCUGGGAAGAUAUUGACGCUGAGGUGCGAAAGCGUGGGGAGCAAACAGG